rnacentral:rRNA from 1 species
UACGUAGGGUGCAAGCGUUAUCCGGAAUUAUUGGGCGUAAAGAGCUCGUAGGCGGUUUGUCGCGUCUGCUGUGAAAACUGGAGGCUCAACCUCCAGCCUGCAGUGGGUACGGGCAAACUAGAGUGCGGUAGGGGAGAUUGGAAUUCCUGGUGUAGCGGUGGAAUGCGCAGAUAUCAGGAGGAAUACCGGUGGCGAAGGCGGCAUCCUGGACCGACAUUGACGCUGAUGAGCGAAAGCUAGGGGAGCAAACGGG